UAAUGUAUGGGGAUCUGCCCGAUAGAGGGGGGUAACUACUGGAAACGGUGGCUAAUACCGCACAAUGUCUACGGACCAAAGCAGGGGCUCUUCGGACCUUGCACUAUCGGAUGAACCCAUAUGGGAUUAGCUAGUAGGUGGGGUAAAGGCUCACCUAGGCGACGAUCUCUAGCUGGUCUGAGAGGAUGAUCAGCCACACUGGGACUGAGACACGGCCCAG
rnacentral:rRNA from 1 species